rnacentral:rRNA from 1 species
AACGUAGGAGACUAGCGUUAUCCGGAUUUACUGGGCGUAAAGCGUGUGCAGGCGGUUCGGCAAGUUGGAUGUGAAAUCUCCCGGCUCAACUGGGAGGGGUCGUUCAAUACUACCGAACUUGAGGGCAUCAGAGGAAGGUGGAAUUCCGGGUGUAGUGGUGAAAUGCGUAGAUAUCGGAAGGAACACCAGUGGCGAAAGCGGCUUCCUGGUCCAGCACCGACGUUCAGGCACGAAAGCGUGGGGAGCAAACAGG